CAAGACGAUGAAGUGAGGACACUGA
rnacentral:misc_RNA from 1 species